UCGGAUCGCAGGCUGUAACCCGCCUGCGUGAAGUUGGAAUCGCUAGUAAUCGCGGAUCAGCAUGCCGCGGUGAAUACGUUCCCGGGCCUUGUACACACCGCCCGUCACACCAUGAGAGUCGGGAACACCCGAAGUCCGUAGCCUAACCGCAAGGGGGCGCGGCCGAAGGUGGGUUCGAUAAUUGGGGUGAAGUCGUAACAAGGUAGC
rnacentral:rRNA from 1 species